rnacentral:other from 1 species
AGAGUCCUGAUGUGUUAGUUGUAUCACCUGAAGUUUUGACCGAACAUUUUGUUUACGGGAGUCUGGAGUUUUUGGGCCGCGUACAUGCCUUGCUUAGCAGAGGACUUACUGCAGCUUGAAACAGGACACCCACCUGCUGCGAGCGGGUUCAAAACGAAGGCACCAUAAACAACGGCACGAUUGGGACUCUU